CGGGGGGGGCAAGCGUUGUUCGGAAUUACUGGGCGUAAAGGGCGCGUAGGCGGUCUGCUAAGUUGGAUGUGAAAACUCUGGGCUUAACCCAGAGCCUGCAUUCAAUACUGACAGGCUAGAGUUCUGGAGGGGAUAGCGGAAUUCCUGGUGUAGCGGUGAAAUGCGUAGAUAUCAGGAGGAACACCGGUGGCGAAGGCGGCUAUCUGGACAGAAACUGACGCUGAGGCGCGAAAGCUAGGGGAGCAAACAGGAUUAGAUACCCUGGUAGUCCUAGCCCUAAACGAUGGAUACUUGGUGUAACUGGGAUUGAAUCCAGUCGUGCCGAAGCUAACGCAUUAAGUAUCCCGCCUGGGGAGUACGGUCGCAAGGCUG
rnacentral:rRNA from 1 species